UUUUGUGAAACUCGUGGCUG
rnacentral:miRNA from 15 species